AACGUAGGACACGAGCGUUAUCCGGAGUUACUGGGCGUAAAGAGCGCGUAGGCGGCUCGUUAAGUGAGAAGUGAAAGCUCUGGGCUCAACCCAGAAACCGCUUUUCAUACUGGCGAGCUGGAGUGAUGCAGAGGUGGAUAGAAUUCCCGGUGUAGCGGUGAAAUGCGUUGAUAUCGGGAGGAAUACCCGUGGCGAAGGCGGUCCACUGGGCAUCAACUGACGCUGAGGCGCGAAAGCGUGGGUAGCAAACAGG
rnacentral:rRNA from 1 species